GAAGAGGGAGGAGAGAGAGGAAUGGGAGAAUCAGAGGCAUCAUCAUGUUCUCCAGAUGGAAUAAAGGGAAAAGAGGAAGCAGGAGGAGAAGCAGAAGAAGACACAGAUUUAAAAGGAAAAACUGAUUCAUGAAAGAGAACAUCCCUGGAGACCAAAUACUUCUUAGAUGCAAGAUCAUACAGCCUAUAACCCUUCCUGCCAAAAGGAUAACCCAGAAAAACACAAGGAAUGACUCUUGGCUUUAACUUGUCCCUUUGAGGGAUGUGAACAGUGGCAUAGGCAAUACACAAGGAAUGGCUCUUGGCUUUAGCUUGUCCCUUUGAGGGAUGGAGACAGUGGCAUAGGCAAGGCAACCAAAAGUCCUCAAGUGAGUAUAGGAUGGAACUGUCCCAUACAAAAGUUCAUGAGGAGACUUAUUAAAAGUAAUCUGGUGGGUAUUCUGUUAAGUAGAUAUGUAGCAGUCAACAAACAAUCCCCCCAGAAAGAUACUGGCAAGCCAGAUUGAAAGAGCAAAGCCCUACAGGUUUCAAGGAGAGUCCUAUGUUUUCUCUCAACAACUCCAUUUUGUUGAGGAGCGUGAGGACAGGAGGUUUGGUGUAUGAUCCCCUGGCUACUAAAAAAAGAAAUACCCUUAUUGCUAGAGCCCAAUUCUAAGGCAUUGUCACUUCUAACAGUCUGAACCAUAGCAUUAAAUUGGGUUUUAACCAGAGAAAGAAAUGACUUAAGCAUAGAAAAAGCAGUGCUUUUGGAUCCCAUUAAGUGUGUCCAUGUUGCCCUAGAAAAAUCAUCAACAAUU
rnacentral:lncRNA from 1 species